rnacentral:rRNA from 1 species
CCUACGGGAGGCAGCAGUAGGGAAUCUUCGGCAAUGGGGGCAACCCUGACCGAGCAACGCCGCGUGAGGGAUGACGGCCUUCGGGUUGUAAACCUCUUUCAGCACAGACGAAGCCUUGUCUUUUUGGGUGGGGUGACGGUAUGUGCAGAAGAAGCACCGGCCAACUACGCGCCAGCAGCCGCGGUAAUACGUAGGGUGCGAGCGUUGUCCGGAAUUAUUGGGCGUAAAGGGCUCGUAGGCGGUUUGUCGCGUCGGGAGUGAAAACACCGGGCUUAACUCGGUGCUUGCUUUCGAUACGGGCAGACUAGAGGUAUGCAGGGGAGAACGGAGUUCCUGGUGUAGCGGUGAAAUGCGCAGAUAUCAGGAGGAACACCGGUGGCGAAGGCGGUUCUCUGGGCAUGACCUGACGCUGAGGAGCGAAAGUGUGGGGAGCGAACAGGAUUAGAUACCCUAGUAGUC